GAUGAAUAAAGGAGAGAAAGCCACACUACUUACUGGUGGCUGCUGAUUCUCUUUACACCUUUUCAAGGGAACAGCUGGGGUGCAGUCACCAGAUGCAUCAUGCUGCUAGAACUCUGAGCUGAAGUUUACCAAGAUUAUGACUCACAAGCUCUGUGCCAGGACAAAAAAGUAUUAGUGCAAUGCCACCCAAAUAUGACAGAUGAUGAUAAAUAACUCUCAUGGCGAUCACAGCGACUCUUCCACUAAAUGAUGAGGCUCUGUCUAACAGAAAAGAAAGUGACAUGAAAAUGGAAAAGACUUGGAGCAAUGGAUAUGUCUACAUGCCAACAAGUAUCAUGAAUUACUGCCACAGCCAGAAGCUACAAAAUGGCAAAGCUGGAUUCUAUCUAGGGACUCAGACGAAAUACGGCCAUGUGGAUAAGUGAUUUCACACUUUCGCCUCAAGAAUUGUGAGACAAUAAAUUGCUGUUGUUUUAAGCAUGCACUGUGUGG